GUUCAGGGUCUCCGUUUAUCGUUUCAGCUGUAGGACAACACUCUCUCCUUUCUCCUCAAAGUCGUCUGGGGAUUGAUUUAAACUAGCAAUAAGCAUAUUGGGAGGCAGUAGAAACAUCAAAGAACAGUAAGGAUUACAGCUGUUUUCCAAAGUAUUUAUUCACAGGGUGAGCAUAUCUGAUCCUCUACUUGAUGAGCUGACAGUCGCAUUAAAUGCUGCUUCACGGGUCAGUGGGGCAAGAUGCUGGAGGUUCUUUCAAACCUGUUGGUUAAAUUUGAUUCAAGCUGGCUGGAGGAUUGACACCUCAAAAAUCUGAUCACCUCUCGUUUCUGGAGUCGUCAUUUUGAAUUAAUCAGUAGCUGGUUUGUUCCUGAAAGGAUCAGAAUAUUUCCU
rnacentral:lncRNA from 1 species